GUGAAUCAUCGAAUCUUUGAACGCAAAUUGCGCUUCUUGGUAUUCCGGGGGGCAUGCCUGUUUGAGGGUCAUUUUUAACAUAAAAUUGGUUUUGUUGCAAAUUGUGACGUUUCUUGAGUUUGGGCUAUCUUAAAUUUUUUGGUUAAGGGGCUUAUUAUUGACCUUAUUUGCGCAUUUUUAGACGUACAUCAAUUUUUUUUUUUAUUCGUCUAUUCUUAAUGCCAAAAUCUUAUUAGAUGCGAUCACAUCGUGUGGUUUCGUUUCCAUAAAAUUUUCAUGAUUUGACCUCAACUCAGGUAGG
rnacentral:misc_RNA from 1 species